rnacentral:rRNA from 1 species
AGUGAACGCUGGCGGUAGGCCUAACACAUGCAAGUCGAACGGCAGCACAGUAAGAGCUUGCUCUUACGGGUGGCGAGUGGCGGACGGGUGAGGAAUACAUCGGAAUCUACUUUUUCGUGGGGGAUAACGUAGGGAAACUUACGCUAAUACCGGAUAACCCGGUGCUGUCGCAUGAUGGCAUCGGCAAAGGAGCAAUCCGCCUCAAGAUGGGCCCGCGGCGCAUUAGCUAGUUGGUGGGGUAACGGCCUACCAAGGCGACGAUGCGUAGCCGACCUGAGAGGGUGAUCGGCCACAUUGGAACUGAGACACGGUCCAGACUCCUACGGGAGGCAGCAGUGGGGAAUAUUGCACAAUGGGCGAAAGCCUGAUGCAGCAACGCCGCGUGAGCGAUGAAGGCCUUCGGGUUGUAAAGCUCUGUCUUCGCUGACGAAAUCUGACGGUAAGCGAGGAGAAAGCCACGGCUAACUACGUG